rnacentral:rRNA from 1 species
UACGUAGGGUGCAAGCGUUAUCCGGAAUUAUUGGGCGUAAAGAGCGUGUAGGCGGCCAGGUAGGUCUGGUGUGAAAACUCGAGGCUCAACCUCGAGAGGUCAUCGGAAACCAUCUGGCUAGAGUCCGGAAGAGGAGAGUGGAAUUCCCGGUGUAGCGGUGAAAUGCGCAGAUAUCCGGAGGAACACCAGUGGCGAAAGCGGCCACCUGGACUGCACCUGACGCUGACACGCGAAAGCUAGGGGAGCGAACGGG